rnacentral:ncRNA from 1 species
UGGUGAAUAGCCGUUCUUAGUUCGUGGAGGGAUUUGUCUGGUUAAUUCCCAUAACGAACGAAACUCAAAUAUAUUAAAUAUAUGUUUUCAGGAUUAUAGUGUAGAAGCUUUUAUAGCCUUCAUCAGGGAACUCAGUAAAAUGCGUUAGUGGUUGAAUGUGUUUAAAGAAGUGGAGCCGUACCUGUUUGUUUGUCCUAUUAUAAGGACACUAGCUUCUUAAAUGGACAAAUUGCGUCUAGCAAUAAUGAGAUUGAGCAAUAACAGGUCUGUGAUGUC